rnacentral:lncRNA from 1 species
AACCAUAUUGGUGUGUGGCUGUUUGUGCUAGCGUGCUGACUUUUGCCUUCAAGUUCACUAGCACUUCGACACACUUUUCAUGAUAUUCAUGCUGCUUCUUUGACAAGUCAAAAGUUUUGUUGUCCUCAAGUAGAAAGAGCAUCACAAAGAACACCUUUUGGAAGUCUCCUAUGUCAUCACAAUCAAAGCUCACUCAACAUUACUGGAAGAAAUUCCCAUUGUAAGACUGUGAGGUGAAAGCACUUCUAAAACAUGAAAGAACAGCAUAAAAAAUGGCAAAAUAUUAAAGAAGACAUCUAGAACUUUCUCUUUUGGGAAGGCUAAUGAAUUCACAUCUCCUCUGGCUGUUGGCCAGUAACAUCCAUGAAGCCUGUAUCUUAUCACCAACCCAGGAAAUCUGUGACACUGAGUGGCAGGGAGAAAGGAAUAUUUACAAGCACAGCUCCAAACCUUCUAACAGUAAGGAGGAUCUCCUCCCCCACCUCGGCUCUGGGAAUAUCAGCCCUGUUCCUCUUGUUGUUUCCCAACCUCCCUACAAGCCCUACAUUGUCUUAAGUCCAACAUCACUGUCCCCAGCCAGCAGAUACUGUCAUAUAGUCACAGAAUGUUUUGGGUUGAAAGGACCUUUAAGAUCAUCUAGUUCCAACACCCAUGCUAUAGUCAGGGUCACCUUCCACUAGAUCAGGUUUCUCAAAGCCCCAUCCAGCCUGGCCUUGAAUGCUUCCAGGGAGGGGGCAGCUGCAGCCUCUCUGGGCAAGCAGUUCUUGUGUCUCACCACCCUCACAGCAAAGAAUUUCUUCCUAAUAUCUAGUCUAAGUCUACCCUCUUCCAGUUUAAAGCAAUUUCCCCUCAUCCCGUCACUUCAUGCCAUUUUAAGAAGUCCUUCCCCAGCUUUCCUGGAGCCUCCUUCAGAUACUGUAGGGUUGCUAUAAGAUCCUCCUGGAGCAUUCUUUUCUCCAGGCUUAAGAGCACCAACUCUCUCAGACUGUUCUUGUAGAGCAAGUGCUCCAGCCCUCUGAUCAUGUUCAUGGCUCUUCACUGGGCCUGCUUCAAUACCUUGAUAUCCUUCCAGUGAUGGAGACCCAGAACUGGAUGCAGUAAUCCAGGUGGGGUCUCAUGAAGGCAGAGUUGAGGAGCAAAAUAACCUUCCUCAACCUGCUGGUCACUCUUCUCCUGAUGCAACCCAGGGUACAGUUGGACUUCUGGGCUGCAAGCAUGCAUUGCCAGCUCAUGUUCAUUCUUUCAUCAACCAACAUUCUGAAAUCUUUCUCCUCAGGGCUGCUUUCAAGCCAUUCUAUACCCAGUCUUUAUUAUCCUUACA